UACGUAGGGUGCGAGCGUUAAUCGGAAUUACUGGGCGUAAAGCGUGCGCAGGCGGUUCGUCAAGUCUGAUGUGAAAUCCCCGGGCUCAACCUGGGAACUGCAUUGGAUACUAGCGAGCUUGAGUGUGGCAGAGGGGGGUGGAAUUCCACGUGUAGCAGUGAAAUGCGUAGAGAUGUGGAGGAACACCGAUGGCGAAGGCAGCCCCCUGGGCUAACACUGACGCUCAGGCACGAAAGCGUGGGGAGCAAACAGG
rnacentral:rRNA from 1 species